rnacentral:rRNA from 1 species
AUUGAACGCUGGCGGCAGGCCUAACACAUGCAGGUCGAGCGGAUGAAGGGAGCUUGCUCCUGGAUUCAGCGGCGGACGGGUGAGUAAUGCCUAGGAAUCUGCCUGGUAGUGGGGGAUAACGUCCGGAAACGGGCGCUAAUACCGCAUACGUCCUGAGGGAGAAAGUGGGGGAUCUUCGGACCUCACGCUAUCAGAUGAGCCUAGGUCGGAUUAGCUAGUUGGUGGGGUGAAGGCCUACCAAGGCGACGAUCCGUAACUGGUCUGAGAGGAUGAUCAGUCACACUGGAACUGAGACACGGUCCAGACUCCUACGGGAGGCAGCAGUGGGGAAUAUUGGACAAUGGGCGAAAGCCUGAUCCAGCCAUGCCGCGUGUGUGAAGAAGGUCUUCGGAUUGUAAAGCACUUUAAGUUGGGAGGAAGGGCAGUAAGUUAAUACCUUGCUGUUUUGACGUUACCAACAGAAUAAGCACCGGCUAACUUCGUG